rnacentral:rRNA from 1 species
GUUGCAGUUAAAAAGCUCGUAGUUGGAUUUCUGGGAGGGUGCCAAUGUCCGUCGUCGUACGUGUUGCAGCGGCGCCCUUCCAUCCUUCUGUUAACGACUUUGGGCAUUCACUUGCCGGAGUCGGGCUCAGAUAUUUUACCUUGAGAAAAUUAGAGUGUUUCAGGCAGGCUAGGCCGGAAUACAUUAGCAUGGAAUAAUGGAAUAGGACUACGGUCUCUUUGUUGGUUUGAGGGACUGCAGUAAUGAUUAAUAGGGAUAGUUGGGGGCAUUAGUAUUUAAUUGUCAGAGGUGGAAUUCUCGGAUUUGUUAAAGACUAACUUAUGCGAAAGCAUUUGCCAAGGAUGUUUUCAUUAAUCAAGAACGAAAGUUAGGGGAUCAAAGACGAUCAGAUACCGUCCUAGUCUUAACCAUAAACUAUGCCGACUCGGGAUCGGGGGCGCGAACUAUCCGCCUUCGGCACCGUAUGAGAAAUCAAAGUUUUUGGGUUCCGGGGGGAGUAUGGUCGCAAGGCUGAAACUUAAAGGAAUUGACCGAGGGGCACCCCCAGGAGUGGAGCCUGCGGCUUAAUUUGACUC